GGUGAUGACUUCACUGCGACUUAAAAUAGAAGAGAAUGUUUCCUUUUCAACUAUGCACAAAGCUCUGCUAUAUGGUUUUGACGUUUCGUGGUUUUUGCCUUUGAACAAUGAAUGUGUAUACAUUCCAUGGCCAAUUGGUGGACGAUACUAUAGUUUUUGCGGUGACUUCCCAGCUUGGUUGGCCGUUACUCUUCAACGUUAGUAAUUCUUUAACUCUCUUUUGUUGUUCAAAUAAUUCUUCAUUUAUCAUCUAAUUAUUCAAUUCUAAGGUAAA